UACGUAGGUGGCAAGCGUUGUCCGGAAUUAUUGGGCGUAAAGCGCGCGCAGGCGGUUUCUUAAGUCUGAUGUGAAAGCCCCCGGCUCAACCGGGGAGGGUCAUUGGAAACUGGGAAACUUGAGUGCAGAAGAGGAAAGUGGAAUUCCAAGUGUAGCGGUGAAAUGCGUAGAGAUUUGGAGGAACACCAGUGGCGAAGGCGACUUUCUGGUCUGUAACUGACACUGAGGCGCGAAAGCGUGGGGAGCAAACAGG
rnacentral:rRNA from 1 species